CAGUAGCCGCGGUAAUACGAAGGGUGCAAGCGUUAAUCGGAAUUACUGGGCGUAAAGCGUGCGUAGGCGGUUUGUUAAGUCUGCUGUGAAAUCCCCGGGCUCAACCUGGGAAUGGCAGUGGAUACUGGCAAGCUAGAGUGUGUCAGAGGAUGGUGGAAUUCCCGGUGUAGCGGUGAAAUGCGUAGAGAUCGGGAGGAACAUCAGUGGCGAAGGCGGCCAUCUGGGACAACACUGACGCUGAGGCACGAAAGCGUGGGGAGCAAACAGGAUUAGAUACCCCGGUAGUCCCUGUCUCUUAUAA
rnacentral:rRNA from 1 species